rnacentral:rRNA from 1 species
AUGGGCGCAAGCCUGAUCCAGCCAUGCCGCGUGAGUGAUGAAGGCCUUCGGGUUGUAAACCUCUUUUACCAGGGACGAAAAUGACGGGACCUGGAGAAUAAGCUCCGGCCAACUUCGUGCCAGCAGCCGCGGUAAUACGAAGGGGGCUAGCGUUGUUCUGAAUUACUGGGCGUAAAGUGCACGUAGGCGGUUUGUUAAGUCAGAUGUGAAAUCCCAGGGCUCAACUUCAGAACUGCCUUUCAUACUGGACAGCUAGACUCCAGUAGAGGUUAGUAGAAUUCCCUGUGUAGAGGUGAAAUUCAUAGAUAUUGGGAAGAACACCAGUGGCGAAGGCGGCUCACUGGUCCGGUACUGACGCUAAGGUGCGAAACCGUGGGGAGCAAACAGGAUUAGAUACCCUGGUAGUCCACUCCAUAAACUAUGGGGGCUAGCCGU